rnacentral:rRNA from 1 species
UACGUAGGGUGCAAGCGUUGUCCGGAAUUAUUGGGCGUAAAGAGCUCGUAGGCGGUUUGUCGCGUCUGCUGUGAAAACUCGGGGCUUAACCCCGGGCCUGCAGUGGGUACGGGCAGACUAGAGUGCGGUAGGGGAGACUGGAAUUCCUGGUGUAGCGGUGAAAUGCGCAGAUAUCAGGAGGAACACCGGUGGCGAAGGCGGCCCUCUGGACGGAUACUGACGCUGAGGCGCGAAAGCGUGGGGAUCAAACAGG